rnacentral:rRNA from 1 species
AACGAACGCUGGCGGCGCGCUUAACACAUGCAAGUCGAACGAGAAGGCGUAGCAAUACGCUUGUAUAGUGGCGAACGGGUGAGGAAUACGUGGGUGACCUACCCUCGAGUGGGGAAUAACCCGCCGAAAGGCGGGCUAAUGCCGCGUACGCUUCCGUCCUCGCGGGGACGGAAGGAAAGUCAUGCCGUGGGCAUGGCGCUCAAGGAUGGGCUCACGUCCUAUCAGCUUGUUGGAGGGUAACGGCCUACCAAGGCUCCGACGGGUAGCUGGUCUGAGAGGACGAUCAGCCACACUGGCACUGCGACACGGGCCAGACUCCUACGGGAGGCAGCAGUGAGGAAUAUUGCGCAAUGGGCAAAGCCCUGACGCAGUGACGCCGCGUGGGGGAUGAAGGUCUUCGGAUUGUAAACCCCUUUCGGGA